GCCGACGUUCCCUAGCGGUCGAUGGGACGGGUUUUGUAAACCCGCUGCGCAAGCACACCGUGGGUUCGAAUCCCACCGUCGGCU
rnacentral:tRNA from 1 species